AAAAAUUCCGGAUGCGCCUUCAACCCUCCCCGGCUCGUGCAGUGGCGUUACGAGCAGACUAGAGUGCGGUAGGGGAGAUUGGGAAUUCCAUGGUGUAGCGGUGGAAUGCGCAGAUAUCAGGAGGAACACCGAUGGCGAAGGCAGAUCUCUGGGCCGUAACUGACGCUGAGGAGCGAAAGGGUGGGGAGCAAACAGGCUUAGAUACCAUGGUAGUCCACCCCGUAAACGUUGGGAACUAGUUGUGGGGUCCAUUCCACGGAUUCCGUGACGCAGCUAACGCAUUAAGUUCCCCGCCUGGGGAGUACGGCCGCAAGGGUAAAACUCAAAGGAAUUGACGGGGACCCGCACAAGCGGCGGAGCAUGCGGAUUAAUUUGAUGCAACGCGAAGAACCUUACCAAGGCUUGACAUAUACGAGAACGGGCCAGAAAUGGUCAACUCUUUGGACACUCGUAAACAGGUGGUGCAUGGUUGUCGUCAGCUCGUGUCGUGAGAUGUUGGGUUAAGUCCCGCAACGAGCGCAACCCUCGUUCUAUGUUGCCAGCACGUAAUGGUGGGAACUCAUGGGAUACUGCCGGGGUCAACUCGGAGGAAGGUGGGGAGGACGUCAAAUCAUCAUGCCCCCUAUGUCUUGGGCUUCACGCAUGCUACAAUGGCCGGUACAAAGGGCUGCAAUACCGUGAGGUGGAGCGAAUCCCAAAAAGCCGGUCCCAGUUCGGAUUGAGGUCUGCAACUCGACCUCAUGAAGUCGGAGUCGCUAGUAAUCGCAGAUCAGCAACGCUGCGGUGAAUACGUUCCCGGGUCUUGUACACACCGCCCGUCAAGUCAUGAAAGUCGGUAACACCUGAAGCCGGUGGCCUAACCCUUGGGAGGGAGCCGUGAACGAUGAAUUAUU
rnacentral:rRNA from 1 species